rnacentral:lncRNA from 1 species
CCAUUUAUAAUUACCCAAAUCCACAUAAUCCGAACACUGCCUCACUUCCAUCUUAAAAAACCGUCAGCAUCUUUGUCCCAUUACAUAGAAAUCCUCGAGAUUCUUCUCUAUCUCUGUCCUAACAAAAAGUCUGAAACCCUAUCCUCAGUCGUCACCCAAAAUUAACCAAAUCAUAAUCAAACAAUCAAAUACGUCCCCUCUCUACCAAUUAACCAACCCAUGCAAGAAGAUUUUAGAUUUAUGAAUGUGAGAUUUUGCGUAUUAUUGCCUCUCGGCACGUAACAAGUGGAAGUUGCAUGACUUGGGCUUUUGUUACAUGUAGAGCCAUUUGGCAGGAUGACUAGCACGUGCCAAGAUAAGCGAACACCUUAUGUUUCUAGAGGAUAGGUUAUGGUUCUGGUUAGGCUUCGAUGAGUGGAGGUGCAAUAGUUCAAGUGGCCUCUCAUUCAUGUCUCGUUUUGGGUGUGGAGGUGGAACGGUGCGAGUGGCUGCCUUUAUUGGACGAGUCUCAUCAGAUUAUUGAACGUAAACUCAUAAAACACCCAAGCAAAUGAUUCAAAAGCAAACCCUUUAAAGAAGGAAUCAAUCUCAUUUUCUAAUAAAAGGUUUAACUUUACUUAACCACGUCUCUUUAGUCCUUCCUUUCUUUGCUUAUAAAACCCUAUAGACCACAGAUUCUUUUUUUGGUUGUCAAGCUCUGUUCCCUCAGCAAAAAAUAUCAACAGCAUCAAGAAGAGGAAGAAGUGGGUGUUUUUGAAGAAAAAUGUGUAAUCCAAUCAUACCUUUGGUUAGCCAUGGGGUCUUCGAGCGAAGAUGGUUUGUUUUCCAAGCAGUAGAGACCAUGACUGAACAUGCAAGGUUAGAGACAGCUGCUGUUGCUGGUGGUGGUGGUGGUGCUGCUGCUGCUGCUGGAGGUGGCUCGAUAAAGAGCUGUAUUUGUUCCCCGACAAGACACGCAGGAUCAUUCAGGUGCAGAUAUCACCAUGGUGAUUAUGAAUGGGGUCGUAGAAUAACAAAGAAGUGAGUACACUUGUAAGUUUGUAAUUAAAGUUCAAAGGCUUAAUGCAAAUGUAUAAACUACAUAACAAAAAUGGGUUUUAAUCCAUUUUAUGUAUCUUCCUUCUACAAUUUCUUGAAUUGCCUCCUCCAUCAAGAAAAUUUUUUCAAAAUCAGUCCGUUUUAAGCCUGCUAGCGCUGCGAACCACAACGCACAACGAGAAAGAAGCAGGACAGAAAGGUAGGACUGGCAAUUUCAAACUCUACCCAUUUAGAAUUAGAAGACGCUAAACGAAACUAAUUGGACUCAAAUUAGUUCAAAACUGGGUUGAGCCAUAAACGGAUCUAUCCCACGCUUAAAAUUUUAUCAUAAUUAUACAUAUAUUAAUCUGAUUAACCUGCCUAAUUUGAUUAUGACCUAUUUAAUAUAAUAUUAUAAAUUACUAUAUUACGUAAUUAUUAUAUGAUACGGUACUAUUGAAUGCAGCAGAACACAAAUGAUCAGCCCCUACGAAAGUUUCAAAGUUAUAAAUGGCAUAUAUUCCAAACUCACGACCUCUUUUCUUUCUCUUAUUUUUAUUUAUUUUUUAAAAUUAAACUAUCGCCCAUUGCGAUGGGUACCAAAGAACACUGCCGCUCAAUUUUGCAUUCAUAACAAAAGAUAGGCAUCUAGCAAAGGGUUUUACCUAAAGAAGAAUGUUCCUGCAGAGAACAGAAAAGCUUAUCACAUCUUAAUAAUGGAUGCAUCUAUCAGAUCCCAUACUCUAGAAGAUGCACAUAUUGUAUACUUUUGCUUUUUACACCAACUCGGACUUGGAGAAUAAGUAAACUAGAAUUUUCAAGUUAUUAAUUAAAGGAAAUGGAGAUUAUUUCCUACAACAACCAAUAGUCAUUCUCUGCCAAAAAGCAACAGAACAAAUUUCUUUUUCGAAAGCAACAACCGCCUACAAGUACAGUCUAUUAGAACAUAAUUGCUGACAUGCAGUCACUAUCUUUUCAACUUCUCAUUUGAUUAAGCCACAUGUCAGUUUGAAGAAGGUUCAUAGUUAUUCUCUAUGUUCAUGAUCACGGAUGAUUUAUCCACCUUCCACAAUACCAAUUGCCAACUGCCAGAAGCACAUCUAUGUGGAUGUUUUAAGCGUAUCAGAUCAUUCUGUUCUAAUUCAUUCUAUAUACCCAUCUCCCAGAAGAAAUCAUUUUUGCGAUAGUAAAUGCAGAAUUACGUGAAUUAGCGUAAUCUUUGGUAAUAAAUAGCCUACAGAAUAAUCUGUUAAACAGUUAUCUGCUGGAUCAAUUUGAUUCUAAGAGAAGUAUUCAUGGGCCCAACAAGUAUAUACAGAAGCAACAACCUUAUGAAUGGAAAAAUUCUAAUAAAUUUCAUUUAAGUUGGGUGUAAAAUGUAAAUACAUAGAUAGCUUUGUUCCUUGGCCAAAUGAAUCUUUUGCACUAAAUCGAAUCAGAAGCCACAAAGAACUCGCCCAAGCUACAAAUGGCAAUCAAUUUCUGAAUAGAACUAGCAACUCAAAGGGCUACUGGAAACAUAAGAAUAUUUACCUCCAGCACCCAGUUCUAUGUACUUCCGCUUCAAGACACUCUGCCACAGACCAAGGUCCCUCAUAUCACUGGAAAAUUUAGAUACCGGUUCGUGUAUUAGAAAAGCAAAAUAGACAGUUAGUAUGAUCAAUUAAUAUAGAUAAAAGAAAAACUAUAGCCCUAGAUUAUCUGAGAGCAUAGAUCAACCAGUACAUGGAAUGAAAACAGGAAUGUAAGACGCUCCUUAGUAGAAAUGCAGUAAGAUGGAAGUAGCUAACUGGGAAUAAAAUAUGAAUGUCCAAAUUCCAAAAUAUGAAAUCAUUUCAGGUCGCAUGUGUAAGAAAUAUAAGCAGAAUACCAUAUAUUGGAAUAAAAUAACGACGGCCACGGAAUUUAAUACCUUAUAAACACUUCUUGUCAGCUGGAAUGUAAUAGCUAAGACUGCCAUAAUAAAAGAGAAAGAAGUCAAAAUAACGAAAAGCAACAGGGUCGCCGUUUGUAAUGAGUGAUAUGCAUGCAACAUAUAAAGCAGUUGCAUGAAUCCUUCAAAAUAGUAAUAUUGUUCAUCAUAAAGAAUAACAGUUCCUCACCUCAGGGUAACAAUCUUGACGGGCAACUGUUUGGUUAUUAGUAUUCACAUAGACCUCACACGAUACUCUUGCCUGAAACAUUGUGAAGGACAUAAGUUUGAUUAUAUAUCAUCAUGAAUAAAAUAAGCAAAAUAGCAGCGAGACAUGAAAAUGGUAAAAGGAGCUGAAACGUGCAAGGUUAAUGCUCAUAACUAUUAAAGUUGCAAGGAUCACUAAUGCUUGAAGGUACCCUAAAGCACAGGCAAAAGACAUAAGCUGGCAUGCCUGUGAGAGACGAGGCGCAAAAGAUAGCCCAAUUAUGUGAAACAGUACCUUAGAGGCUACUGUACUGAUCUCAGGCAUUUUUCCUUAAGCUUUUCUUCUUUUUUUUCCCUCUUCUAUUUGUUCUUUCUAAUAAAAUUGAUAUACAUCUAGCAUGUGUGAGAAUAAAGGCACAGUUGCUGCCCCAUAUUGUUCAAAAUUGGAUGACCCCUAAAAUUUCCAUACGCACUGAAUCGUUUUUCCCAAAUAUAAAUCAAAUUCCCUAAUUCACACAUUCGCCAUAUCCAAUUAAAUCAACCACAUCACGCACCCAGCACAAAUUUAAGACAAAGAAGCAAGAAGACGAAACAAAUGACCUUGAUAGGAAUUUUGAAAAACAAGAGUCCAAGCUCUCCUUCGAUCAUGGUAUCAGUGUCAAAGGGGAUAACGCCCCUAGCCAAAUCCUCAAUCAAGUAAAACACAUCAUGAAUAAUCUGUAGCCCAUUUAAAUCAAGCGUGGCAUUAACGUACGACGAUCCUCUCGCUCUAAGUUUCCCGCCUUGAGACCUUACAAGCCCCAGCUCUCUCCCUCUAUACCCAACCGAAACGUCAAGAGAGUCAUAGUCUAAAGAAAAGAAGUCUCUGUUUCUCACCCUCAUGAGCAGGGACAGAGAUAUGUCGAGAGUGAGUUUCGGGGAUGAGUUGACUCGUAUGUGGUUGAGUCGAAUUCGGUCUACUUGGAGGGCGGGAUCGGAAGGGUAGAGAAAGAAGACAACAGCAGACAGAAGGAGGAUGACCGAAGUAAAGAGGAGGCAGCGGCGUAGGAAGAUGAGGGACGGAUUCGGAGGUGGUUGGUAGUAGGGCAAAACGAUGACGUUGUGCGGAAUAGGGUGGGAAGGUAAAGAAGUAUACGGAGCAUUGGAGAAUUUUGAGGUCAUUUUGUUUUGUGAAAUUUGUGAAUUUUCGUGCUGCCUCGGUGGCCGGCGCAAUAAGAAUUGCCAAACACUCCUUUGCGACUUUGCGUACGUUUCUAACGUAUUGAGAACGUAGCAAUAGCCAACCAACAUCUAAGCGGAUUUUUUAAUAAUUUUUAAAAACAAAGGAUUUGGAGAAUUCAUAUGGGCCGUUGGAUUGUACGUUGAAAAUGCUGCUAAUUACCAACUACAAAUGGAUCCAAUAACAUAAAGAACAUGAUAUAAUUUUUAUAAGUGAAUAAGUUUACAAAUGAUAGAUGUAAUUUUAGCCACAAUUAAUCAAACAAAUGAAAAUUUCUUAAUAUUUACUUUAAUUUUAUACAUAUCCCAAAAAAAGUUAAUUACAUAAAAUAAUUGGAAGAUGGAUAUAAUUCAAAUUUUGAUAAAAAUAAAUAAGAGAUGGAAAUCACUUAAUAAAAUUAUUCAAAUUUGAAUUUUAAAUAUGGAAUUCAUUCCUUUUUAUCAUAAGAAUCCAUGUUAAGAUGUGCAAUAACAAAAAGAGUGCAUCGGGUGACAUUAAUCACAUCAGCAACAGCAAGCUGAAACGAGAAAAAGAGUGAAUGGGAAAACAAAUUUCCUUUCUGGACAAAAGAAGAAACAGGAUAUAUCUUUGUCUUUGUAUAAGAAAUUUACCACAUUCCAAUUGAAAAAACAAUUAUUUUCGGAUCAGGUUCAGGUACCCAAUCAAAUUUUUUAUUGGUGGCAAGAUGAUACGGUGACGGUGCUUCUGUCUUGCACUCAUAAAACAAACAAUGACGCGUGAACCCGAAGCCAAUCGGUUGCUUCUCCUAGAAAUGACAAAAAUCGUAUGAUCUUGAUCCAAUACAGUUCAGACCCAGAUAAAAUGACAACACAAACAUUUUUUAUUUGAAAAAAAAAAAGGGAAAUAGACUUAACCAUUAAGUAGAUAAUGUCAAAAUCAAUUAAAAAUAUUUAUAAAUUGACAAAUGACAAGCGAAAUUGUGCUUUUCAUAUUGUCACAGUCAACAGUCACUGUCUUUUCGGCUACUAAUUCAAAUUUGUAAGUAUCCAUCUUGUCCAAUAUUAACCUAAAAUUAGUAAUAUAAUUCAUUAUAAACCUAUUCUAGGCCACUCAAAGCAUAUCUCAACCAUCGCGCUGUGGACAAAACUAUUAGAGAUAAAACAUAUAACUUGGACCCAGUUUGUGGAUAAUGAUCCACUAAUCAAACCAAUUGUUGAUUAACCCAUGAUAUUUAAUGCAGAUAAAUUAUAUUUUCCAAUUAUUUUUUUAUAUUUGAAAAUUAAAAAAUACUACUAUAGAACUAACUUUUUAUCAUCAACAACAAAACCCAAUUUUAACGAUAAUUUUCAAAUUUCAAAUUGACAAAAAAGAUUGAAGAAAAAGAGAAAGAGUGAGAGUGGAUGUUAGGCAACGGCUAAUUAAGAUAGAAACAAUCUUACUGCAAAUCACAAAAUAAUCCUUAACACAAAAUAUGUAUAUACUCCGUUAUUUUUCUACAGAGUUUGAUGGAGGUACAGAGGAAGGAUUUGAUGCGGUUGCUGCAUAUAUAUUUAUAAUAACACCGACUACUUAAUUAACUAAGUAGACUCAACUGACUUAGGAGACAGAGUAUUUACGGCGUUAUUUGUUGGCAUAGACUUUGAUCGUUUCAUCGAAGCCGCCGCUGACCUCGACCGAUGAAAUCUACACCUAAACGAUCCUUCAUGCGUCGUCGGCGAACACAGGCAUUGGCCUUUUGGCGAACUCAAUAUGGCGGAGCCACCUUCGGUUCCGUUGCCGCCUUUCGGAGAGGAGGUAGAAACCGCGAUGCUGCCAUGGGACGCCAUAAAGAAACUAAUUAAGAAGAGCAAACUGAAAUAAUAGUUGGUCUGUGGCGAUUUUAUAUGGUUUGAGAAUUAUAUGAUUCUCAAAAAUAGUGUAAGGUUAGAAUUGGUAAUCCAAUCAAGUGGUGCGCUAUGAUUCUAGCUUUUUUGUCUUUUUUAUAACCAAACAAACAAACAAUGUAUCUAUUUCCUGCAGUGCAUGAAAUCCAAAACGGAUAUUUGUUAGGUAUUUCUACACAAUUCGGUUGGACUCCAUA